CCAAAUGGGGCUGCUACACAUGCAGUCGAGCGAGCUCUUCGGAGCUAGCGGCGGACGGGUUAGUAACGCGUGGGAACGUGCCCUUCACUGCGGAAUAGCCACUGGAAACGGUGAGUAAUACCGCAUACGCCCUUCGGGGGAAAGAUUUAUCGGUGAAGGAUCGGCCCGCGUUAGAUUAGAUAGUUGGUGGGGUAACGGCCUACCAAGUCUACGAUCUAUAGCUGGUUUUAGAGGAUGAUCAGCAACACUGGGACUGAGACACGGCCCAGACUCCUACGGGAGGCAGCAGUGGGGAAUCUUGGACAAUGGGCGCAAGCCUGAUCCAGCCAUGCCGCGUGAGUGAUGAAGGCCUUAGGGUCGUAAAGCUCUUUCGCCAGAGAUGAUAAUGACAGUAUCUGGUAAAGAAACCCCGGCUAACUCCGUGCCAGCAGCCGCGGUAAUACGGAGGGGGUUAGCGUUGUUCGGAAUUACUGGGCGUAAAGCGCACGUAGGCGGAUCAGAAAGUUGGGGGUGAAAUCCCGGGGCUCAACCCCGGAACUGCCUCCAAAACUCCUGGUCUUGAGUUCGAGAGAGGUGAGUGGAAUUCCGAGUGUAGAGGUGAAAUUCGUAGAUAUUCGGAGGAACACCAGUGGCGAAGGCGGCUCACUGGCUCGAUACUGA
rnacentral:rRNA from 1 species